GACGAACGCUGGCGGCGUGCCUAAUACAUGCAAGUAGAACGCUGAAGCUUGGUGCUUGCACCGAGCGGAUGAGUUGCGAACGGGUGAGUAACGCGUAGGUAACCUGCCUGGUAGCGGGGGAUAACUAUUGGAAACGAUAGCUAAUACCGCAUAAGAGUAGAUGUUGCAUGACAUUUGCUUAAAAGGUGCAAUUGCAUCACUACCAGAUGGACCUGCGUUGUAUUAGCUAGUUGGUGAGGUAACGGCUCACCAAGGCAACGAUACAUAGCCGACCUGAGAGGGUGGUCGGCCACACUGGGACUGAGACACGGCCCAGGCUCCUACGGGAGGGAGCAGUAGGGAAUCUUCGGCAAUGGACGGAAGUCUGACCGAGCAACGCCGCGUGAGUGAAGAAGGUUUUCGGAUCGUAAAGCUCUGUUGUAAGAGAAGAACGAGUGUGAGAGUGGAAAGUUCACACUGUGACGGUAUCUUACCAGAAAGGGACGGCUAACUACGUG
rnacentral:rRNA from 1 species